ACGGGUGAGUAACACGUGGGCAACCUGCCUGUAAGACUGGGAUAACUUCGGGAAACCGAAGCUAAUACCGGAUAGGAUCUUCUCCUUCAUGGGAGAUGAUUGAAAGAUGGUUUCGGCUAUCACUUACAGAUGGGCCCGCGGUGCAUUAGCUAGUUGGUGAGGUAACGGCUCACCAAGGCAACGAUGCAUAGCCGACCUGAGAGGGUGAUCGGCCACACUGGGACUGAGACACGGCCCAGACUCCUACGGGAGGCAGCAGUAGGGAAUCUUCCGCAAUGGACGAAAGUCUGACGGAGCAACGCCGCGUGAGUGAUGAAGGCUUUCGGGUCGUAAAACUCUGUUGUUAGGGAAGAACAAGUACGAGAGUAACUGCUCGUACCUUGACGGUACCUAACCAGAAAGCCACGGCUAACUACGUGCCAGCAGCCGCGGUAAUACGUAGGUGGCAAGCGUUAUCCGGAAUUAUUGGGCGUAAAGCGCGCGCAGGCGGUUUCUUAAGUCUGAUGUGAAAGCCCACGGCUCAACCGUGGAGGGUCAUUGGAAACUGGGGAACUUGAGUGCAGAAGAGAAAAGCGGAAUUCCACGUGUAGCGG
rnacentral:rRNA from 1 species